UUUUAGCCCCGAUGGUAACGGCAUCCUUAUUAUGGCGGUGUUAGCCAUAAAAGAUAUAGUGUACAGCGGGAAAUAGC
rnacentral:sRNA from 1 species